UUAAAAGGUAGCACCAGAGCGAGGAGGACAAACACGUUGAGGAGAAGAAAAAGAAAAAAAACAGUUGGUGGAAGCAAAGAGAUAACCGCCCCCCCAACACCAGUCUUCUGAACUUCUCCAGAAUUUUCAACGUUUGCAGCUCCAUCUGGGAUAUGGUCUGCCUGAGGUUCUUUGUGAAGUGGUGUCAGCAAGACUGAGCAGAAAGGCAGAAAAGUUCAUGACAGUCAAAGAAGCUUGUGGUGACGUGACUCCGUGAAGACCACACCACCACAGAAAGAGGCGGGAAGAAGCUGAGACAUACCACAUGCCACACGGUCCUUUACGACAAGGGGAGAAACAGGAAUAAGAGAACAAGAGAGCAGCCUAUAUUCCGCAGUCAGGAUUUUGAGGUAAUUAAACAAUCCCCAUAAAGGCACAGAGGGCUGGCCCAUAGUAAGCACUCAAAUAAUUAUGGUGGUAAUUAUGGAACGUUAUCCAUCAGCCCAUUUCACCUGCUGGGUGUGGACCCCUAGGAGCCUGCUCACCGGUCCGGAGAUAAGAAGACUGGGUGGCUCAGUCGGUUAAGCAACCGACUCUUGAUUUCGGCUCAGGUUACAAUCUGAGUCCUGAGACAGAAUCUCGCACGGAGCCGCAUGGAGCCCCACAUCAAUCCCGCUCAG